rnacentral:rRNA from 1 species
GACGAACGCUGGCGGCGUGCCUAAUACAUGCAAGUUGAGCGAUGAAGAUUGGUGCUUGCACCAAUUUGAAGAGCAGCGAACGGGUGAGUAACGCGUGGGGAAUCUGCCUUUGAGCGGGGGACAACAUUUGGAAACGAAUGCUAAUACCGCAUAACAACUUUAAACAUAAGUUUUAAGUUUGAAAGAUGCAAUUGCAUCACUCAAAGAUGAUCCCGCGUUGUAUUAGCUAGUUGGUGAGGUAAAGGCUCACCAAGGCGAUGAUACAUAGCCGACCUGAGAGGGGGAUCGGCCACAUUGGGACUGGGACACGGCCCAAACUCCUACGGGAGGCAGCAGUAGGGAAUCUUCGGCAAUGGACGAAAGUCUGACCGAGCAACGCCGCGUGAGUGAAGGAGGUUUUCGGAUCGUAAAACUCUGUUGGUAGAGAAGAACGUUGGUGGGAGUGGAAAGCUCAUCAAGUGACGGUAACUACCCAGAAAGGGACGGCUAACUACGUG